CAUACAAACAUAUUAGAAUAUAACAGUCAACCAAAUAUUAAAUAAAAUAAUGAUGAAAAUUAUGAGUAUUUACAUUCCCUGCGGUAUAUACACAAGUAAAAUCUAUAAAAAUUUGCCUUAAAGGAUUUAUUCACUUAGCUAAGAGAAAAUAUAAGGCAGAAAUUUAACCAGUAAAACACAGAGAAAAAAUAAAUAAAACUGUCUCUUAAAUAAAAUCUUUAAAACUAAAAAUUUAAA
rnacentral:lncRNA from 1 species